rnacentral:misc_RNA from 1 species
UUAUAUUUUUUUCUUUCUUCGAGUCUUCUCGUCAGUACAUUGCAUUUCCUUGAGUGUGAGUGAUUGUGGGUUUGUCAUAUUACAAAGUUUACUGUUACGUUUAAUAUUUGAAAUAUACAUUGUUGUGAAAAUGCCGAAGGCUAAACUGGUGCGAUACAAGAGAAUACGACGGUCAUUAAAACUCCCAGAGGAUGAGCUCGGCACUGAGGGCGGCGUCGGAGGGAGGUUCACCAUCGGACCGGCCCCAGAGAGGGACUGGGAGAUGGUGCCCCCCGACGGCAAGUGGGGGUGGUGCGUGCUCGUAGGCGCGACCCUGGUGAACAUCUUGAUCCCGGGGACCAUCAAGUCCUUCGGGGUCCUGCUGGUGGAGUUCAACGACGUGUUCGGGGCCUCGCCGUCGGCGUCCUCCGGGAUAGUGGCGCUCUGCUACUUCCUCUACAGCAGUCUUGGUCCUCUGUCGUCGAUCUUGUCGGUGAAGUGGUCGUACCGCACGGUGACGCUGCUGGGCGGGUCGUUCGCCGCCUUCGGCAUGAUCUUCAGCAGCAUGGCCUUCAGCAUCACGUACCUCUACUUCAGCUUCGGCGCGCUGGUGGGCGCGGGCGCGGGGCUGGCGUUCCCGCCGACCGUGUACAUCGUGACGUCGUAUUUCGUGCGCCUGCGCGGGCUCGCCAACGGGAUCUGCAUGUCCGGGUCCGCCUUCGGCUCCAUCAUCCUGCCGCCAGUACUGAGGCUGCUGCUGGAGACCUACGGCUAUAAGGGCGCAGUGCUGAUCCUGGGCGGCAUAAUGCUGAACGUGUGGGCGGCCGCGCUGCUGUUCCAGCCGGUGGAGGAGCACUUGGUGCGCCGCUACAAGGAGGACGACGAGCUGCCACAGUUGGAGCCGUUCGCGGAGGAAGAGUCCUGCGAGAUCGAGCAGAACAAGCUGAUGCUCCCGGAGGACCACCCUCACGGGGACAAGCCUAACGGGUCGCCCCCCAUGCUGGUCCCCCCCGACUCCCCCACGCCUGGCUUCGCUCGCUCCGCUAGCGCCGCCCUUGUCAGACAAGACGAAAAGAAAGAGGACAGAACCAGGAAGAUCUCAACCCCAGCGUCGUCGAAGCACGGUCUCCAACACAUCCCCAGCAAGGCGUCAAACCACCUCCCGAGCAAUCCUUCGUUUUUAGAAUCAGUGCCUGAAGGUAAGGCCAGUCAGGUAGGGAGCCAGGAGGCGUUUAGCAAGAAGCUAGCCGUGCCGAAGACGCCCAAACGCAGUCCAUCAACAUCCAGCUUCCAAUACAUGUCGACUCCCUUCCACGGGUCUACUUUGUCUGCGUUUGAGAAGCCCAGCGAGUUCGCUUCACAGUUCAGCCUGAAGUCGGUCACGGAGAGCUUAGCGCCUUUAACCUACUGUUGCGGUUGCAAGAGGAAAGGCAAGAAGGAAGACGAAUCCAAGAAAGAACCGAGCAAGUAUUUCGAUUUGCAACUCCUCAAGGAUCCAAUUUACUUGGUGAUUCUAUUCUCAAACUGUACCAGCGCUAUUUCCUAUACAAAUUUCAUUAUUUUGGUUCCAUCUUACGCUAUCGAGUGCGGUUUCGACAAGUCCGCUGGCGCGUAUCUGUUGUCGAUCAUAUCGGCGCUGGAUCUAGUGGGCAGAAUCGGCGGGUCGGCGCUGUCAGACGUGGUCACCACGCCUAAACGGUACUUCUUCAUAGUGGGACUGUUACUUUCCGGUAUAAGCUUAUCUCUAAUACCGUUGAUGACAACAUAUCCAGCUGUCAGCGCGUUCUGUUCGGUUUUCGGCAUCGCGUCAGGUAUUAACACCGGAGUCACAGCCCUGGUCAUGACUGAGAUGCUGGGCACGGAGCGGCUGAUGUCCUCUUACGGCAUCAGUCUGUUCAUGAACGGUAUCCUGCAGCUGAUAGGGCCGCCUAUCUGCGGGUUUUGGUUCGAAUAUACGAAGUCGUAUAAAUCGUUGUUCGUAACGUUAGGUUUUGUUUUGAUAUUCGGCGCGUCGCUGUGGAUAUUUGUGCCGUUCAUACACAGAAGUAGGAGGCGCGCGCGACAGCGGCUGGAGAAAACGACAAACAUCGCGUAGUAUACGAUGUUGAAGGGUUCGCGUGGACUAUUCGCGAGUCACUCUUUAUGAGAUACGAUAUAGGUGAACAGGUUCAGUGGCGGCUCUAGCGGAAUAUUUAAGUGGCGCAAGACAUCGCAGUGGCGCACCUCAAUAUACAGUUUUUAUCGAUUAGUUUACGGCCACCGAAAUAUACCUAAUUGAGUCUUUUAAAAAUGUCGUUUAUGUGGCUGCUAAGAGGUCCAAUUCACAGGGCAGGUGUGCCCAAUCCAGGUACUUCCCUGUAGAUCCGGGGCUGCCAGCCAGGGUGGUCCCGUCUUGGCUGAUUUUGAACUUGAAAAAAAAUGGCCCCCGGAACAAUCGCACCGUUCGCACCGCCCUAGGGCCGCCACUGAACAAGUUUGAAAAGGCAAAGGGGAGAAAUAUACAGUUACUAAGUAAAUAAUAUGUACGACGGGUUGUAGAGAUUGAUUCUCGACGGCGCUGGGCACGGUACAACAAAACCAGGUAUGCUCAAAAGUGACAGCUAACAUUUCAAGGUUAGCCCAGCUGACGUCAUCCCACCCUGUGUUGCCAUUUUACAAAAAUAAAUUACCCACGACCAAUGUUUUUAUAUUUAAGUACAUUGCAAAUAAAUUUUGUACUUUUAGUAAAAGAUUUACUUAGUUUUAAUAAUUUAUAUAUAUGUGAAUAGUGAUAUUGGUGCUAAUUCCUGUAAAUACCAUCUAAUUUUAUUUUAAGUUAUAUCUGUCAUUUUCUUAUCCGCCGAAAAGGAAAGGGACGGGUCAUGGAACACACGUCAAUUUUAAGCACAAAUCUAAACCAACCGUCUUAAAAUUUUACAUCAGUCAAUAACCCGACACAUUCAUUUACUCAUUCUUCCUAAAAUUAAGAGCUGUGAAUCAUUCGUCCCUUUCCUUUUCGACGGAUAUGAAAAUGACGGAUAUAACUUAAAAUAAAAUUAGGCGGCGUUUCCAGGAAUCGGGGCCAGUAAUUAAAUACAUUAGUCAGUAAUUCACUUAAUUUUCAAUAAUAAAAUUGACGUCCUUGGAAUGUUGGAGAUACCAAUUUAAUGGUAACACUUACGUCAUCAAUGGGCUAGCAAUGGCGGCUUGUCAUGGGAUUGAGCAUAGCUGGUUUUCUUGUACCAUGGAUAUAGCUAGAUUAAUUUGACAGCCGACAGGACGAUGCAGUAAACUACGCGACAACCUAGUCAAAAACGAAACUUUUUUAGAGACUUACCGUUCUAUUCCUUAUUCUAUGACACUAGGCUGUCUUUAUUUCUGUCCUGCUGUGAAAUUUAUCCAACUUUUUAACUAGGUGUAAUAAACAUACAUAAAUUAUAUCUCAUGCUUCGACCAAUAGUCGUAUGAAGUAACCGUAGAUACCAUUCGCCGCGUCUAUUGGUCGAAGCCCUCGAUACAAAACGCGCGCAGAAGCUGUGCCGCCUGUGCUGUAUACAGGGUGUUAGUGACAUUGUAACGAAAAAAAUUGGAACGUCUAAUUGUCGUACUAAAAACGAUGUUAGAUGUUUCUCUUGUCGGAUAUGUUUAUCGCAAUGUAAAUUACCGGGUGAGAGCCUUCAGCGCUCCCCAUUUGCCCGGCCAAGUAGUUAAUGCCACCUGCGGCAAAUCUACAAUAAGUCACGUCAAAAAAAAAGCAAUGUAAAUCGUUCAACGCGCACAGUUGCGUACAAUGUUGUUGUACAUGGAUGAUUUUGAAGAAUUUCUUAUUUUUAUUUUAUUUUCUAGGACUGAAAAUAAUUAAAAAAUAAACACUAAAAUUUUUAUGAAUUUUCCGACAGGAUAUUCCACUUGAUAUCAACAAUCUUACUCUGAAUCAUUCCCCAAAGUUUUCGUUACGAUGUCACUAACAUCCUGUAUAGCUAUACACGUAACACGAUUGUUUAAGUAUUUCAAGGAAGGACUUUCCAGGCUAUGUUUCCCCAAAAAUAGUAGAGAUGGCGUUGUACAGUCAUGAGCAAUAUAAUGUACCCACUUUAGGACUCUUUUGCACUAACAUAUUUGACAUUUAGUGAGACUUACAGUUGAAUUUGUCAAAAAAGUUAAUGUGACAUGGUACCAAAGUGUAUACAUAUUAAUGCUCAUGACCGUACAGCUUUAACGAGAUAAUUACUCUAUUUUCUCAUUAUUCGGUUACAUAUUUUUUUCCAAAAUACAAUGCAGUGGCAGAAGCAUUAUACAAAAAUAAUCGUUGCUUGAUAUUUGGAUCACAUUAUGUAUAGAAUUAUGUUGCUACCUAUAUUGCUUCUCUUUAUUUCGAUCAGAAUAAUAAUGGGUGGAAGAUUGUUUUAAGUUUACGCGGUUAUUAUCAUAAUUAAAGCACAUAAUAACGGGUUCUUACCGCGUUUAAAUGGGGAUAUCAAAAACAUAAACAAGCGGCAAAGAAAGCGGGUAGACAGAUACGUCUGCCCGUAGAAAAUUAUGGAUCUACCUACUCCACUCCAAUCUCAUCAGUCAUCCCGUGAUCAUGGCACUUGCAACAGUGUCGAAAUAUCGGGAGUCUCAUAUCCCCAUUUAGACGCGGUAAGAACCCGUUAUUAUGUGCUUUAAUUAUGGGUGGUAGAUGUAAUUGUACCUUGGUGUAAUAACAAAGGUCAUCCUUUACACCCAAAAACAAAGAUCAAAGAUGUAUAUGUCUGUUAUCCAUGAAAUUGAAGGUUAAACGAAGGAAAAUCUGUACAGCGCCAUCUAUACUGUUUUAACGAAUGUAGCCUGGAAAGUCCCUUAUUACCUGAAGUGGCAUUUUGUUUGAGAAGGAAUUUUAAGUUACUUUUUAAGUUAAUUAAGUCUUAUACCUACAAUAAAGAUUAUUAUAAUUAUAA